rnacentral:rRNA from 1 species
CCCUUAGACGCUCUAGGCGGCACGCGCGCUGCAAUGGGUGGUAGAACGUGUAACUGCUCCCGAAAGGGAGGGUGAACCACGAAUACUUACCCGUGAAUGGGAUAGUUUGUUGCAAUUUUCGGACUUGAACUAGGAAUCCCUUGUAAGAAUGCUCAAGAAUAGCGUGCUGAAUACGUCCCUGCCGUUUGUACACACCGCCCGUCGUUUCUUCCGACUGAUACUCAUUGUGAGUUGCAAGGAUUCUUAUUGAAAAAUUGCUGCGAAUGCUUUGUAUUGGAGGAAGAAAAAGUCGUAACA